rnacentral:rRNA from 1 species
GGCGAGCGGCGGACGGGUGAGUAAUGCCUAGGGAUCUGCCCAGUCGAGGGGGAUAACAGUUGGAAACGACUGCUAAUACCGCAUACGCCCUACGGGGGAAAGGAGGGGACCUUGGGGCCUUCCGCGAUUGGAUGAACCUAGGUGGGAUUAGCUAGUUGGUGAGGUAAUGGCUCACCAAGGCGACGAUCCCUAGCUGUUCUGAGAGGAUGAUCAGCCACACUGGGACUGAGACACGGCCCAGACUCCUACGGGAGGCAGCAGUGGGGAAUAUUGCACAAUGGGGGAAACCCUGAUGCAGCCAUGCCGCGUGUGUGAAGAAGGCCUUCGGGUUGUAAAGCACUUUCAGUAGGGAGGAAAGGGUGAGUCUUAAUACGGCUCAUCUGUGACGUUACCUACAGAAGAAGGACCGGCUAACUCCGUGCCAGCAGCCGCGGUAAUACGGAGGGUCCGAGCGUUAAUCGGAAUUACUGGGCGUAAAGCGUGCGCAGGCGGUUUGUUAAGCGAGAUGUGAAAGCCCUGGGCUCAACCUAGGAAUAGCAUUUCGAACUGGCGAACUAGAGUCUUGUAGAGGGGGGUAGAAUUCCAGGUGUAGCGGUGAAAUGCGUAGAGAUCUGGAGGAAUACCGGUGGCGAAGGCGGCCCCCUGGACAAAGACUGACGCUCAUGCACGAAAGCGUGGG